AUUUUGAUUUCUUACAAGGAAGAGGGUAGAGAGAGAGAGAGAGAGUGAGAGUGAAAGAGACAUUUUGGUGGAACUGUGUAGAGAAAAUAGAGAGAGAGAGAGAGAGAGAGAGAAAAUGGAGAGAGAGAGAAUGGAGAGAUUGUAGAGAGAGAGAGAGAGAGAGAGAGAGAGAGAGAGAGAGAGAAUGUGUAUGAAUGUGGGGUUGUUGUGGUUAGGUCACUUUAGGUCAUUUAUAAGUGAG
rnacentral:lncRNA from 1 species